GAUGAAGAACGUAGCGAAAUGCGAUAAGUAAUGUGAAUUGCAGAAUUCAGUGAAUCAUCGAAUCUUUGAACGCACAUUGCGCCCGCCAGUAUUCUGGCGGGCAUGCCUGUUCGAGCGUCAUUUCAACCAUCAAGCCCCAGGCUUGUGUUGGGGACCUGCGGCUGCCGCAGGCCCUGAAAACCAGUGGCGGGCUCGCUGUCACACCGGGCGUAGUAGAUUUUAUCUCGCUCAGGGCGUGCUGCGGGUUCCGGCCGUUAAAAAGCCUUUUUUACCCAAGGUUGACCUCGGAUCAGGUAGGAAGACCCGCUGAACUUAAGCAUAUCCAUAAGCGGAGGA
rnacentral:misc_RNA from 1 species